UGCCCUGUCCCCGUGCUCCAGCCCUUCCCACUGACCUCAGGGGUCUGUAGGUGAUCUCGUCCACGUGGAUUCCAAAGAGCUCCCGGGCUGCGUGCUGGAACACGUGCUCCAGGGAGCUGCUUGCUAGAUGGGAGAGGAGUCCAGAACCCCCAGGGCCUUUGUCUGCAUGUCAAGAGGAAGCUCAGCUUGAAGACUUCUCCUACGAUAAGACCCCAGCACAGGGGCGCUUCAGCUGAGAUCUCAAUCAAAACAGAACGCUGAGGACACCCGCGUCAUCUGCAUCCCUGGCAACCUGUACCUUAGCUCCAGAGACCCAGAUGUCCACCUCCUGGCUUACGGGUGGAGGGCCAACCUGGCCACUGAGGCGAGGAAGGACUCCACUUCUGAGGACCCUCAGAAGAGCCAGCCAGCUCCCCCGACCCGCAGCCCACCCUCCGCCCUCCCAGCAGCGUGGCGGGGGGUGGACAUACCCAUCCCCGGACCCGCCGCAGUGUGGUCGUGGCUCCCCACGAGCUGGAGAGGGGCAUGUGUUCCUGCAGGGGGGCCCCCUCCCCACCCCACUGGCUGGGUUCCUGAGCAUUUUCUUUUCUGUAUUUUAAGCACUUGGGAGACUGUGAGGCUGCUCAACUCAAAAAUGGGGUGACUGGCCCACGUGAGUCAGAGUGGAUGACGAGAAUCCCCACCCGUCUCUUCACGCAGACUGUUUUAGAGCAAACACCUGGCCCUUUGGCCACACGUUCCCCAAGACAAUGGAACAGCUGUGAGGUCUGAUCUGGCACCCAGGGGAGGGCCACCGGCUGCCUCAUGCAUAGGGGCUGGCAGCUCCAGCCAGAGCCUGCGGGCACGACCCGGGCAAUACCACUACGUGGGACCCACACCUGUGGUGACAACACAAUCCACAUCACGAGUCUGGUAGUCCUGGCUGAAAAAGUCUGGUCUGGAAGCUUCCAGCUUUUUGUCAUAGCAGGGCAUGACCGUCACAUGGUAGAUCCUGUCCGGGGUCAAAUGCUGCAGGGAAAUGUGGAAAUGUGAAGUCGCUGCCUGACCUGACAGGAAAGGAGCCCGCAGGAUAAGGUGGGGGGUGACAUCACAGGCGCGGCCUGGGACACAGCCGGCCAGCGGCCAGGAUGGGACCGAGAUGCCUCGUGUGGCCGUGUGGACAUCGGAGGUCCUGGCUCAUCUUUGAGAACAAUGGCAGUGAAUCGUUCACAGCUGGAAUAUUCUUGUUACCUGCUGCCGGGCAAAGAAGUCCUUGACCAGGGAGCCCAUGACCUGCUGUGGGGACCGAACAGUGCUGAGGAAGGGGAUGAGGAAGCUUCCGUGCGUCUUCUCCGCGUAGCAGAUCCAGCCUGAGGCCGACACGGGGAACGAACGGGGUGUCUGAGCAGCUGGGCAGGGAGUGGCAUGACCUCCUGGGGUGCCCCGGCUUGUACGGGGAGUUUUGGUCCCGUUAAAGAACGUCCCUACUCUGCUGUCA